GUCCACGCUGUAAACGAUGGGCACUAGGUGUGGGGGGUUUUUAAUCCCUCCGUGCCGCAGCUAACGCAUUAAGUGCCCCGCCUGGGGAGUACGGCCGCAAGGUUAAAACUCAAAGGAAUUGACGGGGGCCCGCACAAGCGGUGGAGCAUGUGGUUUAAUUCGACGCAACGCGAAGAACCUUACCUGGGUUUGACAUGUGGGGAAUCUAACGGAAACGUGGGAGUGCGUAGCAAUACGAGCCCCAGCACAGGUGCUGCAUGGCUGUCGU
rnacentral:rRNA from 1 species